rnacentral:misc_RNA from 1 species
GGGGACCUUGUGGAGUUCCUCACUGCCUUUGUAUCCGGUCCACUAAACACCACAACCCCAUAGAUAUAAUCAGUGUUUCGGAGCUUUGAAUCCCUUAGAAGAAUUUGCGUUGGACUCAAAGGAUGAGAUUCAUUUCCUAACUCCAAAUUUCCUACAAAUGUAUAAAGAUUUGGAUUUGGAUCCUCACAACGAACCGUGGCUGAAAAAUUCCUAAACUGUUCAUCCCCAUCUAGACCAAGUGUAACCUCCA